GGCGGGGGAGCACUACAAGGGGUGGAGCGUGCGGUUUAAUUGGAUUCAACGCCGGGAACCUCACNGGGGGCGACGGCAGGAUGAAGGCCAGGCUGAAGGUCUUGCCGGACGCGCCGAGAGGAGGUGCAUGGCCGCNGUCAGCUCGGCGUCCACUUAAGUGUGGUAACGAGCGAGACCCGCGCCCCCAGUUGCCAGUCCCUCCCGCUCGGGAGGGAGGCACUCUGGGGGGACUGCCGGCGAUAAGCNGGAGGAAGGGGCGGGCGACGGUAGGUCAGUAUGCCCNGAAACCCCNGGGCUACACGCGCGCUACAAUGGGCGGGACAAUGGGUGCNGACCCNGAAAGGGGGAGGUAAUCCCCUAAACCCGCCCUCAGUUCGGAUCGCGGGCUGCAACUCGCCCGCGUGAAGCUGGAAUCCCUAGUACCCGCGCGUCAUCAUCGCGCGGCGAAUACGUCCCUGCUCCUU
rnacentral:ncRNA from 1 species